GGGGGUGACCGGUUUUGACAGCAGGUAGAGUUUGAUUGUAAGCACGUCGAGCAUUGUGUGGUGGCUCGUAAAUCCUAACGCUCAAACUACAAAUGGCAAUAAUAGCUAUGCACUCGCUGCCUAAUUUUCAAGGAAAAUUAGCUUAAUCACGGGAUCCAAGGAGGUCUUGUGACGAGUAUCCCGGAGAGUGGUUCCGCUCUUUAACCGCUUCCCAUACGGGGUAUCAUUCAUUUAGAGAUAGUGCGGAGGAGCGUUCCGGCCGAUGCGCGAAAUCAUAGGAACUGGGAUCCGGGUUAGGUCGCUGCCUGCCAGACCCGGAUAGAAGGAUCAAACGGCGGCUAAGCGUGUAGAAAGCUUUCGGGCUCCUUGUUUGGACGCGGGUUCGACUCCCGCCACCUCCACAA
rnacentral:tmRNA from 1 species